rnacentral:lncRNA from 1 species
UUAUUUUAGGAGAUUAUCUUUUUUAGUCUAGUAGAGUUAAAGGGCCAAUUUUCAAGGUAAAUUUGGCCAAAAUUUGGCCCAAUUCGGAUCUAGCCCAUAAUAAUCCAACCCCAAUACCCGUAAAACCAUAGAAAGACACUUAAAACGACCCUAAAUUUCUAAACAUAUGGGGGAGCCGUAUUUUCUAAUUUUAAAAAACCCUACACAAGAACCUUAUCAUCUUCUUCACCUUUGAACACCCAAAACACUAGAGACCCCAAACCCUAGCAACCAAGAACCCAUUAGCAGCCAAACACAACCACCCUCCAACCGCUAGCCGUCUUCCCCAAACACCAUAUUUCUUUCUUCCUCACCUUGCAGCAACCAGCCCGUUGGCGACCCCUUCAACACCAACCACCCAACCCCAAUGAGAUCCCUUCAUCUCUCACACAUAAACCAACAGAAGCAGACUACCACCCUCCCCAUUUCUAACCAUGAACCAGCCGCCCAAACCCGCCAAAAACUCGUCGGAACUCCUCUAGUGGCGCCAGGUCUAGACGCAGCCAUAGUCACCGUCUGCCAACCACUCCCGUUCUACCAUAACCUGCUGCAAGACACAGACACAAGAAUAGACGAAAAAAAGAGAAAAUCUGGGCAGAAAAUUAAUUAAAAAAAGUUGUUCUUGUGGUUCUGGUUUCCAAACUGGAGUGGAUUUGAAAUGUGUUUUUCGAUCGUUGGAGUUGUUGUUUGAGGUCUAUAAUCUGUUGUUCGAUCCCGAAUUUGGAAUACAUCUGAGGUCUUGUUCGCGUUUUGGUAUGCGGUUCCGGUGUAGAUUUGACAUUGUUUCAAAAAUUUGUGCAGCAAUAAAGGUCCAUUUCUGAGCUUCUCUGUUUCGUUUUAAUGGUUUCUUGUUGCUUUUUUGAUUUUAAUUGAUGUUCAGAUGAAGUAGCUAUAUGUAGGUGCUUUGUAAAUAAUUUGAAGUUUUUUAAUGUUUGAUUAUCGGAUGGAAUGCGUUCGAUUUAGUAACUUAGUGUUUUGAUUUUCGUUGUUCAAUUUAGAUAGAUAAUCUGUUGCUUAAUCAUUUGACGUUUUCACUAAUUAAAAGGCAUGUGGUUGUUGCGUUCAUAUAUACAAUGGACCAUGGAUUCAGUUUCAAGGAUAUUUGUUGGAAUUGGUAAAAUUGAUUUAUUAUAUGAUGGACCAUCUAACAUAGAGUGGACCACUUGGUUUGAAUCAUGAGUGGGCUACCGGGUGUUUUCUUUAGGAAAAUAACUCAUGAAUAUCGUAGCUUGCUUUAGGCACGAUUAAUUAAAUCAGCAUAGCUACGGGUACGGUUCCCAUGACGUAGUUGUGAUACAUAAUUUCCGAAUCCGGAUGCACAUUUUAUGUGAUCCGACCGUAAUUCUGAAUAAUAAUAAAGUUAAACAUGUUGUAGAUUGCGGGUACGGUUCUCGUGAUGCAAUUCACAAUUUAUACGAAAUAAACGAGUGUGUGACAUCGCGACUUGUUCCAACCUAUUCCAUAAAUAAUUAAAAGCGAUUUUUUGAAAAGAUUAAAAAUGCACAAUAGUCUUAAUGCUUGUAUUAAACCAGAUAAUUAGGCCAAUAUUAAUAGUUGAGUGACCGUGCUAAAACCACGGAAUACGGGAAUGCCUAACACCUUCUCCCGGGUUAACAUAAUUCCUUACCCGGAUUUUUGUGUUUCGCGGACAGUAAACCAGAGUCAAACUUCCUCGAUUUGGGAUUUUAAACCGGUAACUUGGGACACCGUAAAUUAUCCCAAGUGGAGACUCUGAAUUUUAAUAAAUAAUCCUAUUUCGAUUAUUGUCACUUUAAUUGAAAAAACUCUCAUAUCUCCCUCUGGCGACUCUGCUGGGGAUCGAACCCAGAAUCUCUGGUUCAUGGUUCAAGAAUUUGAGCUUAGAAUAACUGUUAUAUUUGGCUUUUAUUUAUUAUCUAAUUUUUAUUAAAUGUUUGGGCCUAAUGUACUAAAUGUCAUUUUUUACCGCUUUGAUAUUAUUUGAACUGUAUAUAAACUGCUGCGAAACCCUUCUCUUCUAAUCUUCUUGGAAGUGCACGCUAGCGUGACUUCUUUUCUGUUAGUGUCAUACCCUAAUUUAGAACGAGGAUCGGAUCAGUUACAAAGUCGGAUGACCUUUUGGUUACCGGUACGUUGCCCCCCUCGGCUCGAGUUGUCCACUCGGGUAAGCCAGGUCCAGAACAAUACACCCAGGUUUUAAACCUAGAAUAACAUAGCCUCAUGCCGGACCCUAGUAGAAACGUUUGUUUGCAUCACGUGCAUUUAACUUAGAGGACUCAACACAGGGGUUGGGUCCGUCUAGGACAGGUGUACCCAAAAAUAAAAGACCAUCCUGAUGUAUCCUAUGUGCUACAUGUUGCAACCUUCAAGGGUAAAAGGGGUCAUUUGGCAGACCAAUAAUGGAUGAGAGUAAAUGAGAGAAAAUAGGGUGAAGUAUAAAAAUAAAGCAAGUAGGACCUAGUCAUGUUUUUCUUUCACAUUUUUUUAAGAAAAAGACAAAAAAAACAUGAAAAAUCCAAAAAGAUUUUGCACUUUCCAAUAAUUUUCUAAAAAAAAACAAAAAACAAAAAAGGGAAAAAGAAAAUCCAAAAAGAGUUUACAUGUUUCAUCAUUUUUCAAAAAAAAAAGACAAAAAAUAUAUUUUAUCUAAAUUAGUUAUUUUUUUAUUCUCACCCGUAUAGAAUCUUCCCGAACUACACAUACCAGAUUCUCGUCUUUCAGUGCGUGAUACGUGGGCAGACAACAUAGGGUCUGGUCAUCUUAGUGAGUCUUAGGUUCUUGUCUUCGAGGAUCGUAGCCAAAUCUUGCAUCUUUAGCCACUUUUGGCCUCAUCGGCCAUUUUGCAAAAUAGGGCUAUUUUCGCAAAGUGGCUUGUUUAAUUUUGUCUGGAGAGUCUUCAAUCCACAAUUAGGUGUCUCUUUACUUUAAGGUCCGUCCUUGUCGAAUUUGCAUGUCUAGCCGUUUUUGGCCACAUAGGCCGCUUUGCAGAAUAGGGCUAAUUUUGUAAAAAUGGUUCAAUUAACCCAUGUCUUAGAGUCCUAGGUCCACAACAAAGUGUCCUCUCUGUUUAAGGUCCAUUCUGUUGAAUUUGCAAUGCUUAGCCAUUUUCUGGCCACAUAGGCUAUUUCUACAAAAUCAGUCAUUUCUCUAAAGUAAUUUUUUCAUGUCUUAGAGGUCACCUUUAUUGAGUUUGCACUUCUAGCUGCCUUUUGGGUACGUGGCUAUUUUGCACAAUCAUGUCUUGAAUGUGUCCAAUAGGGAGUGUUAUUGUCUCACAAAGAGUUCUAAAUCCUUACUCUAUUUGGUUUUAGUUUUCUUAUACAGGUGUGGAUCUACUUACCGGAGUUUGAGCAUGGCAAAUACCUCAGGACCAUCUGGUCAGGACCGUUGCACCCAGGAGUUGUUUAAGGAGAUCUUUUAUGUUUUGAGUCUGUUUCUUUUUAUGUUGUCUUGUACUUUAUAGUCAUGUCUAGUAGUAAUGAUUCUUUUAGUUAGUGUCGGAGUUUGUCGUAGUAUAGUUGAGUUGAGUCUUUUGUUAUCAUAUUUCCUGUUUUUUAUUUGAAAAAAAAGUUUUAAUGAAUAAUCCACAAAGAUUUUAUUUUUUUUUUAGUUUAAUUUAUCCAUUACUUUUCCGAAAUACGCAAAGAUCUGAUUCAUGUGGA